GACGAACGCUGGCGGCGUGGAUAAGACAUGCAAGUCGAACGGAAGUAGUUUGUAGCAAUAUGAGCUGCUUUAGUGGCAAACGGGUGCGUAACACGUAGAUUACAUUCCGGAGAGUGUGGAAUAGCCCAGGGAAACUUGGUGUAAUACCACAUGUUGUCGAAAGACAAAAAGAAGCUUGCUUCUGCUCUCUGAUUGGUCUGCGGCCUAUCAGCUAGUUGGUGAGGUAAUGGCUCACCAAGGCAACGACGGGUAGCUGGU
rnacentral:rRNA from 1 species